UUCCUGACCGUAAAACGCACUGAGCCAGUCUGUAUCAUGGUUUCUGGCCGUAAAAUGACGGGCAUGCUUAACACGUGCCCGUCGAACGAGAAAGAGAUGAGAAGCUUGCUUUUUAUUGAUUCGAGUGGCAAACGGGUGGAGUAACGCGUAAGCAACCUGCCCUCUAGAUGGGGACAACAGCUGGAAACGGCUGCUAAUACCGAAUACGUUUUUUCUGUCGCAUGGCAGAGGGAAGAAAGGGAGGCUCUUCGGAGCUUUCGCUGGAGGAGGGGCUUGCGUCUGAUUAGCUAGUUGGAGGGGUAACGGCCCACCAAGGCGACGAUCAGUAGCCGGUCUGAGAGGAUGAACGGCCACAUUGGGACUGAGACACGGCCCAGACUCCUACGGGAGGCAGCAGUGGGGAAUCUUCCGCAAUGGACGAAAGUCUGACGGAGCAACGCCGCGUGAACGAUGACGGCCUUCGGGUUGUAAAGUUCUGUUAUACGGGACGAAUGGUACGACGGCCAAUACCCGUCGUAAGUGACGGUACCGUAAGAGAAAGCCACGGCUAACUACGUGCCAGCAGCCGCGGUAAUACGUAGGUGGCAAGCGUUGUCCGGAAUUAUUGGGCGUAAAGGGCGCGCAGGCGGCGUCGUAAGUCGGUCUUAAAAGUGCGGGGCUUAACCCCGUGAGGGGACCGAAACUGCGAUGCUAGAGUAUCGGAGAGGAAAGCGGAAUUCCUAGUGUAGCGGUGAAAUGCGUAGAUAUUAGGAGGAACACCAGUGGCGAAAGCGGCUUUCUGGACGACAACUGACGCUGAGGCGCGAAAGCCAGGGGAGCAAACGGGAUUAGGUGCCCCGGUAGUCCUGGCCGUAAACGAUGGAUACUAGGUGUAGGAGGUAUCGACCCCUUCUGUGCCG
rnacentral:rRNA from 1 species